rnacentral:lncRNA from 1 species
GGCUGCGCCGCCCAGCCUCCGUCUUCCUCCUUCUCUCUUCCGGCGGACGACGACAGCCACCGCCGGACACGCCGCCGCCCCCUGACUCUCCUCUCCCUCGCCUCUACUCUCUCUUCCUCUGAAUCUCCGGUGCACAGCAGCAACAAGCCACUGUCACCAUCAAAGGACUCCCUCUAUUUCCAAGCAACGACGAUGAGACCGCCGCCGCUCUGAGCCCUAGCCCCCAAAUCGCCGACUCUCCUGCUCGAUUCCCGGCGACCGCAGCUCCUUCCACGGCCGCAGCCCUCAACCACUCUCACCCCCGACCUAGCCUCUUCCUCUGACUCCGGCGACUCAGGGCAGCGAAGGCUGCCGCCGACCGCGUCUCCCCUCUCUCACCGAACCCGGCGGAAACAGCCUCCGCCUUCCUCCUUGGCGACGGCGAGGCGCCGCCGCCUCCCUCGGCUCUCUCAGCCCUUCCCUGUUCACAAACCCGGCAGCCCAGCAGCAGGAGUUAACUACCGUCACCGGCCGCCGCGCACCACUCUCUUUCCGAAACAUCCGGUGAUCAGCCAUGACAGCCUCCGCCGACGACACAACCUCACCCUUCCCG